GACGAACCGUGCGAACGUUAUUCGGAAUCACUGGGCUUAAAGCGCGUGUAGGCGGGAUGGCACGUCGGUCGCUGAAAGCCCCCGGCUCAACCGGGGAAGGGGCGCCGAUACGACCGUCCUGGAGGGACGUAGGGGGACCUGGAACUUCCGGUGGAGCGGUGAAAUGCGUUGAGAUCGGAAGGAACGCCCGUGGCGAAAGCGAGGUCCUGGACGUCUGCUGACGCUGAGACGCGAAAGCCAGGGGAGCCGAACGGGG
rnacentral:rRNA from 1 species